rnacentral:rRNA from 1 species
GACGAACCGAGCGAACGUUGUUCGGAAUCACUGGGCUUAAAGGGCGCGUAGGCGGGCUGCCGCGUCCGGGGUGAAAUCCCACGGCUCAACCGUGGAACGGCCCCGGGUACGGGCGGGCUCGAGGAAGGUAGGGGCGUGCGGAACUGUGGGUGGAGCGGUGAAAUGCGUUGAGAUCCACAGGAACUCCGGUGGCGAAGGCGGCACGCUGGACCUGUUCUGACGCUGAGGCGCGAAAGCCAGGGGAGCGAACGGG